UGAGAAUGCCGGUGUGAGUAGCGAAAGACGGGUGAGAAUCCCGUCCACCGAUUGACUAAGGUUUCCAGAGGAAGGCUCGUCCGCUCUGGGUUAGUCGGGUCCUAAGCUGAGGCCGACAGGCGUAGGCGAUGGAUAACAGGUUGAUAUUCCUGUACCACCUAUAAUCGUUUUAAUCGAUGGGGGGACGCAGUAGGAUAGGCGAAGCGUGCGAUUGGAUUGCACGUCUAAGCAGUAAGGCUGAGUAUUAGGCAAAUCCGGUACUCGUUAAGGCUGAGCUGUGAUGGGGAGAAGACAUUGUGUCUUCGAGUCGUUGAUUUCACACUGCCGAGAAAAGCCUCUAGAUAGAAAAUAGGUGCCCGUACCGCAAACCGACACAGGUAGUCAAGAUGAGAAUUCUAAGGUGAGCGAGCGAACUCUCGUUAAGGAACUCGGCAAAAUGACCCCGUAACUUCGGGAGAAGGGGUGCUCUUUAGGGUUAACGCCCAGAAGAGCCGCAGUGAAUAGGCCCAAGCGACUGUUUAUCAAAAACACAGGUCUCUGCUAAACCGUAAGGUGAUGUAUAGGGGCUGACGCCUGCCCGGUGCUGGAAGGUUAAGAGGAGUGGUUAGCUUCUGCGAAGCUACGAAUCGAAGCCCCAGUAAACGGCGGCCGUAACUAUAACGGUCCUAAGGUAGCGAAAUUCCUUGUCGGGUAAGUUCCGACCCGCACGAAAGGCGUAACGAUUUGGGCACUGUCUCAACGAGAGACUCGGUGAAAUCAUAGUACCUGUGAAGAUGCAGGUUACCCGCGACAGGACGGAAAGACCCCGUGGAGCUUUACUGUAGCCUGAUAUUGAAAUUCGGCACAGCUUGUACAGGAUAGGUAGGAGCCUUUGAAACGUGAGCGCUAGCUUACGUGGAGGCGCUGGUGGGAUACUACCCUAGCUGUGUUGGCUUUCUAACCCGCACCACUUAUCGUGGUGGGAGACAGUGUCAGGCGGGCAGUUUGACUGGGGCGGUCGCCUCCUAAAAGGUAACGGAGGCGCUCAAAGGUUCCCUCAGAAUGGUUGGAAAUCAUUCAUAGAGUGUAAAGGCAUAAGGGAGCUUGACUGCGAGACCUACAAGUCGAGCAGGGUCGAAAGACGGACUUAGUGAUCCGGUGGUUCCGCAUGGAAGGGCCAUCGCUCAACGGAUAAAAGCUACCCCGGGGAUAACAGGCUUAUCUCCCCCAAGAGUUCACAUCGACGGGGAGGUUUGGCACCUCGAUGUCGGCUCAUCGCAUCCUGGGGCUGUAGUCGGUCCCAAGGGUUGGGCUGUUCGCCCAUUAAAGCGGUACGCGAGCUGGGUUCAGAACGUCGUGAGACAGUUCGGUCCCUAUCCGUCGUGGGCGUAGGAAAUUUGAGAGGAGCUGUCCUUAGUACGAGAGGACCGGGAUGGACAUACCUCUGGUGUACCAGUUGUCGUGCCAACGGCAUAGCUGGGUAGCUAUGUGUGGACGGGAUAAGUGCUGAAAGCAUCUAAGCAUGAAGCCCCCCUCAAGAUGAGAUUUCCCAACUUCGGUUAUAAGAUCCCUCAAAGAUGAUGAGGUUAAUAGGUUCGAGGUGGAAGCAUGGUGACAUGUGGAGCUGACGAAUACUAAUCGAUCGAAGACUUAAUCAAAA
rnacentral:rRNA from 1 species